rnacentral:lncRNA from 1 species
GCUGAGUUCUUCUGACUCUUUCUGACCGUAAUCCUUGACUCUCCUGUUUCUCUGCUGUCCCUCCUGUGCCUGUAUUACCUGGCUUGAUACCCUACCUCCUUUCUGUUCUCAGGGAGUGGUCACUAGUCCAGCCUUCUCUAGUCUAGCCACUCUUGAGGGAUGUGCACAGACUUUGCUUCAGCAAAAGCUGAAGGCUUAACUGAGGCUGAGGUCAGUGUGUGGACAUCUGCUGGUGCAGAGGUGAAGGGAGAAUGCUUAGAUGCCAGGAGGUCUCUGUCUCACCUCCCCAGUCCUCUCUCUAGAGUGUGCAUGCUUGCAUCCAUACACAGCACGUAUCACACCCUUUUGUAGUUGGCUCAUGAGGGCA